AACGAACGCUGGCGGCGUGCUUAACACAUGCAAGUCGAGCGAGAAAGGGGAGCAAUCCCUGAGUACAGCGGCAAACGGGUGAGUAACACGUGGGCAACCUACCCUCGAGUGGGGAAUAACAUCUCGAAAGAGGUGCUAAUACCGCAUGACAUCGCGGAGGCUUCGGCCACUGCGAUCAAAGGUCGGGAUCUUCGGACCGACCGCUUGAGGAUGGACCCGCGGCUGAUAGCUAGUUGGUGGGGUAACGGCCUACCAAGGCGACGAUCAGUAGCCGGCCUGAGAGGGUGAACGGCCACACUGGAACUGAGACACGGUCCAGACUCCUACGGGAGGCAGCAGUGAGGAAUUUUGGACAAUGGGCGCAAGCCUGAUCCAGCAACGCCGCGUGGACGAUGAAGGUCUUCGGAGCGUAAAGUCCUGUCGAGUGGGAAGAUGGAACGAGCAAUCGUUCGGACGGUACCUCCAGAAGCAGCCACGGCUAACUUCGUGCCAGCA
rnacentral:rRNA from 1 species